AAAAAGCGCGGAGUCACGGCUGGAGGGAGGGGGAGCGGAAUUAGCGGGCAGUUGGAAAGCCCGCGAAACGCUUUUUCCGCCUGGGAGGCCGAACGACCGCGCUCGGGCAGGAGGAAGAGGAGGUGCUCCCCAUCUGGGCUCCACCUUCUUUUCAUGCCAAUACUCAAAGUUCACGCCCCUUUUUUGCUCAGCCGUCAGCCCCGUCUGUGAGAGGGGUGCUUCUGCCCUCAUAUGCCUCUCCCUGUGACCCCGGCCCCUUCAGACUCCGCUACGUCGUCUCUCGGCCCCGUCCAACAGCUCCUGACUACUCUUCGCCGGGGUCUGCUUCCCAAUUCCCUUUCGCCAGAGCCCGCGAGCUCAGUCGGCUCCGCGUCCUGGCGGUGGGGAGUUCUCGCGGAGCGCCUGCGCGUGCCAGGCCAUCCGGGACUACGUUUCCCAGCGGGCCGAGCGGACGGCGCCGAUGCUGCGGUCAGGUGACCCGGUCGCCUGACCGCAGUGAGUGAGGCCGGGAGGGCGGGGCCGCGCCGGCUGCUGGGGCUCGCCCUUGGCCCUUUAAUCCCCUUCGUGGGCCGCUCAAACUGCAGCGGCCACGUUCUUGGGGCUUCGCCGGGGGUUGUGCUCUUCCGUACUCGGAUCGCUUCUUAGGAAUAUUCUAACUGCCGGUGGGGAGAACUGCGCCUUAAACCUGGGAUUCUGAUCCAGGAACUGGAAGUUGACAGCUUGGCCGCCUGGCUCCUGCAUCUGCCUUCUCCACUCACCAUCUCAUUUCUUUCUCCAGGAUUGUCAGUGGCUUCGCCCCGAGGAGAGCUGACUGCCCUGGGCUGCUGCCUCCGGCAGAGCUGAGCCAAAAUGUCCCCGGAAUCUAAAAAGCUUUUCAACAUCAUUAUUUUAGGAGUUGCCUUUAUGUUUAUGUUCACUGCCUUUCAAACUUGUGGAAAUGUGGCGCAAACUGUCAUCAGGAGUUUAAAUAGCACAGAUUUUCACGGCAGUGGAUAUACCAGCAUGGCUAUUAUCUAUGGAGUGUUCUCUGCUUCAAAUUUGAUUACACCGUCAGUGGUUGCCAUUGUAGGACCUCAACUCUCUAUGUUUGCCAGUGGUUUAUUUUACAGCCUUUCCCAUGGUCCUUCUACACAGCCUCUGUUUUCAUUGGAAUUGCUGCUGCUGUGCUUUGGACAGCACAAGGAAACUGCCUGACAAUAAAUUCGGAUGAGCACACCAUUGGGAGAAACAGUGGAAUUUUCUGGGCACUUCUGCAGUCUAGCUUGUUCUUUGGAAAUCUCUACAUAUAUUUUGCCUGGCAAGGGAAAACUCAGAUAUCAGAGAGUGACCGAAGAACAGUGUUUAUUGCGCUGACGGUAAUUAGCCUUGUGGGGACAGUUCUGUUCUUUCUCAUUCGGAAACCAGAUUCUGAAAAUGUCCUAGGAGAAGAUGAGUCUUCUGAUGACCAGGACAUGGAAGUCAACGAGUCUGCCCAGAACAAUCUGACAAAGGCGGUAGAUGCUUUUAGUAAGUAUUUUCUGUAUCCGAAAUGCAAGAACUGUUCAGGAACAACUUCCGCAUUUGCCUUUCCCCAUUUCCCUGGUAACUUUGGAUUGAUGACACCCCAGGGUUUGCAUUUUUCCAGAAAAGUCUUUUAAGUUAUGUGUCACCAAGGAGAUGCUCCUUCUUAGUAUCACAACUGCUUAUACAGGUCUGGAAUUAACUUUCUUCUCUGGUGUAUAUGGAACCUGUAUUGGUGCUAUAAAUAAAUUUGGAGCAGAAGAGAAAAGCCUUAUUGGACUUUCUGGCAUUUUCAUCGGCAUUGGAGAAAUUUUAGGUGGAAGCCUCUUCGGCCUGCUGAGCAAGAACAAUCGUUUUGGUAGAAAUCCAGUUGUGCUGUUGGGCAUCCUGGUGCACUUUAUAGCUUUUUAUCUAAUAUUUCUCAACAUGCCUGGAGAUGCCCCGAUUGCUCCUGUUAAAGGAACUGACAGCAGUGCUUACAUCAAAUCCAGCAAAGAAGUUGCCAUUCUCUGCAGUUUUCUGUUGGGCCUUGGAGACAGCUGCUUUAAUACCCAGCUGCUUAGUAUCUUGGGCUUUCUGUAUUCUGAAGACAGUGCCCCAGCAUUUGCCAUCUUCAAGUUUGUUCAGUCUAUUUGCGCAGCCGUGGCAUUUUUCUACAGCAACUACCUUCUUCUUCACUGGCAACUCCUGGUCAUGGUGAUAUUUGGGUUUUUUGGAACAAUUUCAUUCUUCACUGUGGAAUGGGAAGCUGCCGCCUUUGUAGCCCGCGGCUCUGACUACCGAAGUAUCUGAUCUGGUGUCCAUGAGGGGACACGUGUGACCUCAGAAACACAGCUGGACACAGAGCUUGGUGGAAGAAGUCGCCUUUGAUCUUCACUAUAUAUUGGGUGAUGUUCAGUAUGGAAAAUCAAGGGAUUAAGACUGUUCAAUCAGCCAGAGUUGGUGUUCAAGUUUACAGAUAUGAGUUAUUUAAAGCAAGUGGAAUAAGGGAAAGCUGUUCUGUCAACUGUAAUUGUUCAAAGAUGUUGUUUUUCAUUUCAUCUAUCUCAAUUCUUAUAAUCAUGUUAUAGAAUGUACAUGUUUCUUUUCCCUCCUGCUCGUGUUGGAAGAUCCUGCCUUGAUUUAGAAUACUAGGCCGUAUGUCAUAUAAAUAUUUUUUCUGGCUAUGGAGUAUGUUUUGCUAUGUAAUCAUGGGAAGCAUAUGUCACUCCUGAUAUGUGUUGGGGAAUGACAUUUAAAUAAAUAGCAAAGCUGG